AUCCAUCUGCUCUGGUGUGGAGACUUCCAUGGCCUGGUCCUGAGGAGACUGGAGGAGAGUCGGCCCUCCGCUCGGGAGGAGUGAGCUGCGCGGCCAGUCCCCUCCCGAAAACUUGACUGGGCUGAAAUGAUGGAAGAAGGACCGAAGGAGCCACAUACGUGAACCCCUGUGGGAAGAAACAUUGGAGGGAAGCACAGUGAGUGCUUUCUGGUGAAGACACCAAAAGAGUCCAAUGAGCAGAAGUUACCAGGAAAGCUUGAUUGGCACUCUCACUAAGCGUUGAGUCAUCAGGGCUGUCGACUGGCGUUUGACUGGUGAAUUUAGAGUCAAACUGACUCACGUCUUCAGCUGAUUGC